CACCUUUUGACAUGUCUCGCUAUCUGGAGAGAUCCAGAGUUCCCUUCGGGGACGAGAACACAGGUGCUGCAUGGCUGUCGUCAGCUCGUGUCGUGAGAUGUUGGGUUAAGUCCCGCAACGAGCGCAACCCUCGCCAUUAGUUGCCAUCAUUAAGUUGGGCACUCUAAAGGAACUGCCGGUGACAAGCCGGAGGAAGGUGGGGAUGACGUCAAGUCCUCAUGGCCCUUAUGUCCUGGGCUACACACGUGCUACAAUGGCGGUGACAGUGGGAAGCUAGGUAGUGAUACCAUGCUGAUCUCUAAAAGCCGUCUCAGUUCAGAUUGUACUCUGCAACUCGAGUACAUGAAGGUGGAAUCGCUAGUAAUCGCGGAUCAGCAUGCCGCGGUGAAUACGUUCCC
rnacentral:rRNA from 1 species